rnacentral:rRNA from 1 species
AGUUUGAUCAUGGCUCAGAGCGAACGCUGGCGGCAGGCCUAAUACAUGCAAGUCGAACGGUCUCUUCGGAGGCAGUGGCGGACGGGUGAGUAACGCGUGGGAACGUGCCCUUUGGUACGGAACAACUGAGGGAAACUUCAGCUAAUACCGUAUGUGCCCUUCGGGGGAAAGAUUUAUCGCCAUUGGAGCGGCCCGCGUUGGAUUAGCUAGUUGGUGGGGUAAUGGCCCACCAAGGCGACGAUCCAUAGCUGGUCUGAGAGGAUGAUCAGCCACACUGGGACUGAGACACGGCCCAGACUCCUACGGGAGGCAGCAGUAGGGAAUCUUGCGCAAUGGGCGAAAGCCUGACGCAGCCAUGCCGCGUGAAUGAUGAAGGUCUUAGGAUUGUAAAAUUCUUUCACCGGGGACGAUAAUGACGGUACCCGGAGAAGAAGCCCCGGCUAACUUCGUG